rnacentral:rRNA from 1 species
UACGUAGGUGACAAGCGUUGUCCGGAUUUACUGGGCGUAAAGAGCGCGCAGGCGGUCGUUCAAGUCGAGUGUGAAAGCCCCCGGCUCAACUGGGGAGGGUCACUCGAUACUGAUCGACUCGAAGGCAGGAGAGGGAAGUGGAAUUCCCGGUGUAGUGGUGAAAUGCGUAGAUAUCGGGAGGAACACCAGUGGCGAAGGCGACUUCCUGGCCUGUUCUUGACGCUGAGGCGCGACAGCGUGGGGAGCAAACAGG